rnacentral:rRNA from 1 species
UAGGGAAUCUUCGGCAAUGGACGGAAGUCUGACCGAGCAACGCCGCGUGAGUGAAGAAGGUUUUCGGAUCGUAAAGCUCUGUUGUAAGAGAAGAACGAGUGUGAGAGUGGAAAGUUCACACUGUGACGGUAUCUUACCAGAAAGGGACGGCUAACUACGUGCCAGCAGCCGCGGUAGUACGUAGGUCCCGAGCGUUGUCCGGAUUUAUUGGGCGUAAAGCGAGCGCAGGCGGUUAGAUAAGUCUGAAGUUAAAGGCUGUGGCUUAACCAUAGUACGCUUUGGAAACUGUUUAACUUGAGUGCAAGAGGGGAGAGUGGAAUUCCAUGUGUAGCGGUGAAAUGCGUAGAUAUAUGGAGGAACACCGGUGGCGAAAGCGGCUCUCUGGCUUGUAACUGACGCUGAGGCUCGAAAGCGUGGGGAGCAAACAGGAUUAGAUACCCUGGUAGUCCACGCCGUAAACGAUGAGUGCUAGGUGUUAGACCCUUUCCGGGGUUUAGUGCCGCAGCUAACGCAUUAAGCACUCCGCCUGGGGAGUACGACCGCAAGGUUG